rnacentral:lncRNA from 1 species
GGCCAGACCUUGCACCUGUGCUAGUUGAUCACGGCAAUCGAUCAGAGCAACUCGACAGUAGGUCGGGAAAGUCCGAGCCAAAGUAUCACCGAACCUCGACGAAUGGUCGGCCACUCAUCUGGCAUGAUUUUACCUAGCGUUUAAACCAAAUACCAAAGUGAUGUAAAUUUCAAAAUUUCAUUUCAAAUAUCUUUCAAAUAAACAAACUCCCAGAUAGAACCUUCCGAAUUUCAAACAUUUCGAUUUCGUUAAGAGCUUUUCACAAACACCAAAAAAUGUGAAAAUUUUGAAUAAAUUGCGAAAUUAAGGUGAAAGUGCCACAUUUAAAUUUGUUUUGUGCAUUUGGGCGUCCUCAGGGUGGUCCCCACGUACUUUCGAACACGACGAACGAGAACAAUAUAUACCUUUUGUAAUGUACAGCAUCUUUCACGGCUAUCUCAUAGGCUGGUUGGUGUGGCGCGUUGGUUUUGGUUUCUGGAUUGUUUCAAGCCACUAGGUCUUGACACCAUUUCACAAUUGGCUGGCUGAGCGAAAUCUGAUGAUGGGUGUAUCUGCUUUCGAGCGUUCCCUCACUGUCAGACUAUGGUAUUAAUUAAGUUGUAUUUUUCAGGCAUUUCAAUUGACCUUUGCCUUCUCGUUUUGCUUCAACUGCUAGGCGAGCGUCUCCUCAAAUCUGUGCAGAGGUCUUUCUGUACUGUUUGCCGUCACAGUGAUCGAGCGUGAGGCAAUC